rnacentral:misc_RNA from 1 species
AAGUUGUAACAAAGGUUUCUAUUAGGUAAACCUGUUAGAAAGAUUAUUACCUUUUCUAGCUAUUUAAUAGCUUAUCUAGGGGUCUGCAGUUUCUGCAGUUUCAUAACUACAUCUAUGUUUUUGCGUACUACAUGUUUCCUUAGCAGGCUUACUUGCUAGUUAGAUAAACUAAAACUCUUUGUAAUUACAAUUAGCGUCUGAAUUAUAUAAUAAUUACAA